UGUCAAGCCCCCAAAACACCUGGUACGGGAAGACAAGAAAUCUCUGGCUGAAGAGCCUUGACAUAGAAGAAGCUUGGUUUUCUACAAGAAGAGAAAGAGCUAGUCAAGUGAUGCAGAGACAUUCUUUCAUGUUCUAGACACAGCAUUCAGUGUGGACAUCCCUCCUCUUGCUUACAAGUGGUUAAAGAGAACCGCAACAAAGAAUAUUUAUGGACUACAACUAAGCCUGCGCCUCUCAGGUAAAAAGCAUAUAAAGCCACGUUACCAUCCUCGUAAUACACCAGGAUUUCCUAAUGAGUUUGUCUGCAAUAAGAGACAGAAGCAUCAGUUAAUAUAUAAAAAAAAUCUUUUGUUUCAGUAAUAUCUUAAGAAACAAAUUGCAUCAGGAACUUUCCCAUGAAUAUAAGAAUGAUGUAAACUAUGUUAUUUCUCCAGAAAACUAAGGGUGGUUGGAUGUGCCAAUGCCAGAGAAGUCCAGCUAAAAGGAAUGUAAUGCACCUAGGGAGAAAAUAGCCUGCACCCCAUGUCUCACGUCCUGGACUUGGAGCUGGUGCUGGGACUGAGGAAAUGUCGGUUCCUUGCUGAUGGCACUGGGAAAUCACGGGCUUCAUGUGCCAUAGCCAUACGGGGACACGAUCUGACAGGAGGGCAUUUUUUCCAUUCCUAGGUGCACUCCUGCACCGUUUAAAGCAUUUCUACCACUAAAACGUAAGGUAC